rnacentral:rRNA from 1 species
AGUGAACGCUGGCGGUAGGCCUAACACAUGCAAGUCGAACGGCAGCACAGUAAGAGCUUGCUCUUACGGGUGGCGAGUGGCGGACGGGUGAGGAAUACAUCGGAAUCUACUUUUUCGUGGGGGAUAACGUAGGGAAACUUACGCUAAUACCGCAUACGACCUACGGGUGAAAGCAGGGGAUCUUCUGACCUUGCGCGAUUGAAUGAGCCGAUGUCGGAUUAGCUAGUUGGCGGGGUAAAGGCCCACCCAGGGGACGAUCCGUAGCCGGUCUGAGAGGAUGAAGAGCCACACUGAGACUGAGACACGGUACAGGCACCUACGGGAGGCAGCAGUGGGGAAUGUAGGACAAUGGGCGGAAGCCUGAUCCAGCCAUACCGCGUGGGUGAAGAAGGCCUUCGGGUUGUAAAGCCCUUUUGUUGGGAAAGAAAGUCAGCAGGUUAAUACACCGCUGUUCUGACGGUACCGAAAGAAUAGACACGGGCUAACUUCGU